rnacentral:siRNA from 1 species
CGUGAGGCCAAACUUGGCAUGUG